CGAACGCUGGCGGCGUGCUUAACACAUGCAAGUCGCACGGAAAGGCCCUGCUUUUGUGGGGUGCUCGAGUGGCGAACGGGUGAGUAACACGUGAGUAACCUGCCCUUGACUUUGGGAUAACUUCAGGAAACUGGGGCUAAUACCGGAUAGGAGCUCCUGCUGCAUGGUGGGGGUUGGAAAGUUUCGGCGGUUGGGGAUGGACUCGCGGCUUAUCAGCUUGUUGGUGGGGUAGUGGCUUACCAAGGCUUUGACGGGUAGCCGGCCUGAGAGGGUGACCGGCCACAUUCGGACUGAGAUACGGCCCAGACUCCUACGGGAGGCAGCAGUGGGGAAUAUUGCACAAUGGGCGGAAGCCUGAUGCAGCAACGCCGCGUGCGGGAUGACGGCCUUCGGGUUGUAAACCGCUUUCGCCUGUGACGAAGCGUGAGUGACGGUAAUGGGUAAAGAAGCACCGGCUAACUACGUG
rnacentral:rRNA from 1 species